rnacentral:rRNA from 1 species
ACUCAAAUGAAUAGACGGGGACCCGCACAAGCGGUGGAGCAUGUGGUUUAAUUCGACGGUAAGCGAGGAACCUUACCAGGGUUUGACAUUGUCCUGCAAGCGCACGGAAACGUGUGAUCUUCGAGAGUGGAUAACAGGUAUUGCACGGCUGUCGUCAGCUCGUGUCGUGAGAUGUUCCCUUAAGUGGGAGAACGAGCGCAACCCCCGUAGUAUGUUGAUUUUCAUACUAGACUGCCGGCGUUUAAGCCGGAGGAAGGUGGGGAUGACGUCAAGUCAGCGUGAUCUUUACGCCCUGGGCGACACACGUGCUACAAUGGGAAGGAACAAUGGGACGCAACAUCGCAAGAUCGAGCAAAUCCUCUCAAAAACUUCCCUCAGUUCGGAUUGUGGGCUGCAACUCGCCCGCAUGAAGCUGGAAUCGCUAGUAACCGUGGAUCAGCCUCGCCACGGUGAAUACGUUCUCGGGUUUUGUACACACCGCCCGU